UAGGGAAUCUUCCGCAAUGGACGCAAGUCUGACGGAGCAACGCCGCGUGAGUGAAGAAGGAUUUCGGUUCGUAAAACUCUGUUGUUAGAGAAGAACAGCGCAUAGAGUAACUGUUAUGCGUGUGACGGUAUCUAACCAGAAAGCCACGGCUAACUACGUGCCAGCAGCCGCGGUAAUACGUAGGUGGCAAGCGUUGUCCGGAUUUAUUGGGCGUAAAGCGAGCGCAGGCGGUCAAUUAAGUCUGAUGUGAAAGCCCCCGGCUCAACCGGGGAGGGUCAUUGGCAACUGGUUGACUUGAGUGCAGAAGAGGAGAGUGGAAUUCCAUGUGUAGCGGUGAAAUGCGUAGUUAUAUGGAGGAACACCAGUUGCGAAGGCGACUCUCUGGUCUGUAACUGACGCUGAGGCUCGAAAGCGUGGGUAGCAAACAGG
rnacentral:rRNA from 1 species